rnacentral:rRNA from 1 species
AGAGUUUGAUUAUGGCUCAGGAUGAACGCUAGCGACAGGCUAACACAUGCAAGUCGAGGGGCAUCACGGGAGUAGCAAUACAACUGGUGGCGACCGGCGCACGGGUGAGUAACGCGUAUGCAACCUACCUAUCAGAGGGGAAUAACCCGGCGAAAGUCGGACUAAUACCGCAUAAAACAGGGGCACCGCAUGGUGAUAUUUGUUAAAGAAAUUCGCUGAUAGAUGGGCAUGCGUUCCAUUAGGUAGUUGGUGAGGUAACGGCUCACCAAGCCGACGAUGGAUAGGGGAACUGAGAGGUUGGUCCCCCACACUGGUACUGAGACACGGACCAGACUCCUACGGGAGGCAGCAGUGAGGAAUAUUGGUCAAUGGGCGGGAGCCUGAACCAGCCAAGUCGCGUGAAGGAAGAAGGAUCUAUGGUUCGUAAACUUCUUUGCAGGGGAAUAAAGUGCAGGACGUGUCCUGUUUUGUAUGUACCCUGAGAAUAAGGAUCGGCUAACUCCGUGCCAGCCGCCGC